UUUUAAAUUUAAAUCCUGCAGAGUGUGCAGUCACCAUUGUAUUUCCUUACAGCAUCAUGGCAAGGGAAAUCGGACCUCCAAACUCCCUGAGAAGCAGCUGUGAGGCUUUGUGCUAUAACAUGGAGAUUUAGUUGGGUAUGAGGAAAAAUGUCUGCAGUGGAACAGCUGCCCGGGGAAGUGGUGGAGCCACCAUGCCUGCAGGUAUUUCAAAGAACCUUCACAAAAGAUCUUGUGUGUAAACUUAGAGCCCACAGAACCUGGGUUUUCCUCAAGCCACCGAGGGGAGACCGUGCAUUCCAUCUGUGCCAGGGAUCACCUGUGGCCGGCUGAGGGAGGCCGUCACUCCAUCCUUCAACAUUCCAUGACUUCCCCGGAGAUGCUUCGGACAAGGCACUUGACUCAGAGAACCAUCUGCCAGCUACUUGGAUUCAACAGACUGGAGCAGGACUGUGUCCCAGGUCCACCCGGGACAGGUUAGAGUGAGGAAGAGGCUGCUGGAGGUGUUUUACCACCGACCCCCGCGGAG